CUGACUCAGUGGAGAUGAGUUUGAGUAAACUCCAGGAGUUGGUGAUGGACAGGGAAGCCAGGUGUGCUGCAGUCCAAUGGGGUCACAAAGAGUCGACUGAACUGAACCAGAGUGGAUUUCACAGACUGAGUUUGAAUGACAGCCACAGACAGACAGGGUCAGCACAGACAAAAAAGCAGGCUCUCUGAAUGCCUGAAGAGCUUGGAGGGCCAUGUUGGGGAAUCUGGCCUUUGCUGAAGGUUGGGGUGACCACCUGACUUCCCCAUGAUGUGGAGGACCAGAUGUGGGGUGAAUUACAUUCCCAGAGUGCCUGAGAGCGCCACGGCAGGACUCCCAAGAGGAUGCGGCAGUGACUCGGGGAGUAGGUAGCUGGAGAUGACCUUGCUGUCCAUCAGAGGGGUGAGGAUGGCGGCCGUGUUGCCCAGCAUGCUCCCGAUGCCCAGCAGCAGCAGCAUGAAGAAGUAGAGCACGGACCACAGCUGGGACACUUCCAUGUUCUUGAUGGCCUCCGUGUAGACGAUGAAAGCCAGGCCAGUGCCUUGAACAGCCUGUGUGAGGUAGGAACACACAGUUACACACCCAGGGAGGUUAGGACUCCCUCAACACAGCCGCUGCUAAGGUACCUGGGGCACCUUUAAAUCAGCGAGGAGAUCCCACACUCUGAGGUUGACCUGGGCUAGAGAGAAAUGUCACUUGUCAAGACCUCAUACCUGACUCUUAGUGCACUCAGUGUUUGAAGUAGUUUUUUCCGCCCGAACUUACAUCAUUCUCUACUAAUAAAGUAUUAACAGCUUGGAAUAAUUGUUGCUUCCUAAUCAGGACUGAGGAGGUGACCUGGGAGUUGAGAUGGUGAAGGCACAGCUAAGAAGACACAAGAGCAUACAGAAGCAGGUGAGGAAAAAUCACUGCAGGCGUCUGUAAAGAUGAAUCCAGUUCCUAUUGAACUCAAACAUGACACAGUAAACUACGAUACUGCAAGAGAUUAAAAAUGCAUCCUUUUUGAAAUCAGGCUUAACUGAUUAAGCCUAGGGUAUAUCCUGGCACCUGAGGUGCCUGGGAUUCCUCGAUGGAAAGUCAUGAGUCCCUGUGAGGAAGGUAGGAGGUGACAGCUUUCCAAGGAGACCUAUAGUUCCUAGUAUCCCCUAGAUGGGAACCCAAUCUCUAUUUCCAAAUGAGCCUUCCUGCAGGUAUACCAGACCUCCCACAGCUAAAGGAUGGUGUAUCCCGGGGCAGAGCAAGUUAGAAAGUCACCCAGUCUUCAUGGCUCCUGGAGCAGAGGCCCCUUUGCCCUCCUUCUUAAAAUUCGUGAACUACAUAACACUGGUGCAGGGCUUGGAAUUGGUCUAGAACUUGAUCAUGAGAGGAAAAUGAGGUAACGGACAUCCCAGGGACAAGGCUUUUUCCCCGACUCCGGCCGCCCUGGUGAGCAGAGUAGGGGGUGGAGAAGUGCUGCCUCCUUGUGGCCGUUUCCAUGAACAGCAGCCUGGAACGCUAUCCUUCUGGGUACCUAAUGUGCGUAAGGCCUGAGGGGCUGUGAGGGAUGAAAACAUCAGCUAGGGCCAACUGGGGGGUGAACGUGUGUUUUUCUUUUUAAAGCCCCUGAAAAGAUGCCCAGUAUCUCCAGUGCUUAGAGAAAGGCAGGUGAAAUCUACAACGAAGUAUUCCUGGCACCUGUCAUCAAAGAGACGACACAGAUGGGGAGGGUGUGGAGAAAAGUGACUGAAGGAAGGUACCUGUGGAAAGCGGAGUGGCUCACAGGCAGUAUGCAGAGAAGUGACGCGGUCCUUAGGAAAGAAAAGGUGCCACUCCCUAAAGCUCCGGCAGUCCCACCCUUGCUUGCGUGUGGGGAGAGGAAAACAUCGUUUGAAAACACACACGUACACGCUCCAUUGACCUUUGCCCAUCCACCUGCAAUGGGCAAGGCAUGGAAACUACUGAAAUGCCCGGCGACAGAAGAAAGGGUAAAGACGACGGGCCUCAUAUAAACAACGGACUGCUACUCAGACAGAAAAGCGAAUGGCAGCACAGGCCUGACACCAGUGUGGAUGGACCCGGGCGGGAUCUCACCACCUAAAGUGGGUCAGACAGAGCGCCCGGGCACACACGGUACCACUUACAGGUGGACGCUUUGAAAGAACGGACUAACACACCGAGGAAAUGGAAACAGCCAGCUCAGGAAAGAAACUCUUCUGACACGGCUAAUGUGGAGGGUGGAGAGGGGAAUUAGGAGGUGGGAUUCACUGGUAUUCGGUGAGGUGUGUGUAUAUGUGUGUAUAUAUAUAUAUAUGUUAUGUAUAUAUCUGUAUCUUAAAUAGACAGUGAACGAGGGCCUACUGCAGUGCAGGGAUAACUACUCACUCAGAAAUGAAUAUCACCCAAAAUCCAAAGAUAAUAUGGUCCUUGUAUAUGUGAUCCUGAGUCCAGUUACUAAUGAUUUCAACACGGCACUGUUUAGGAGAUGAUAAAAAGUGAAUUACUUUAGAAAUACCUCCUCUUUUCCAUUCAGGAAUACACAAUUCGAGAUGGGGUCAUAUCCUGGAACCCGAAGUGGCUAUGACUCCUCAAAGAGAAGUCAUGAUUCCUCUAAGUGGGGAGAAAGUGACAACUUUCCAUGGAGGCCACAGCAGACCUGAAGUGCCUGGUGAGCCCUGGAUGGGAUCCAAUUAGAUGAGCCUUCCUGCAGGUACACCAAACUUCCUAUGGCUAAAAAAUGGUGUUUCCCAGGGCAGAGUGAGUUAAAAAGUCACCCAGUCUUCUGGAGCAGAGGUACUUUGGCCUCUUUCUUAGAGUUCUGCAUGCCACUGGUGCAGGCCUUGGAAUCGGUCUAGAACUUUCAAGGGGUAAGGAGAAAUGAGACCCACCUUGGGUGUCUUUUCUGGCACUCUUGACCUGAUUGACAUCCCAGGAGCAAGGCUUUCUCCCAGACUCUGGUUGCCUGGGAGACCAGAGUGGGGAUGAAGUAGUGCUGCCGCCUUGUGGCCGCCUGUAUGAACGGCAGCCUCCAGCGCUUCUGGUUCCUUUAUAUACACAAGGCUCCAGGGGCUGUGAGUGGCCGCAGCUCCCAAGAAAUCUACUGCAGGAGGUGAGCCCAUAAAAAGUCAACUGGGACAAACUGGUGAUAAGCCAGCAUCAAAGGGUGAAGUAGAGUGAACUUGCGUGUUUUUUUUUCUUUUUUAGGUCCCUGAAAAGAUGCCCAGUAUCUCCAGUGCUUAAGAGAGAGGCAGGUGAAAUCUCAAAUGAAGUAUCUUCUGGCACCUGUCCUCAAAGAGACGACACAGAAUAUCUGAUGGGGAGGGUGUGGAGCAAAGUGACUCUGAGGAAGGUAUUUGUGGAAAGUGGAGUGGCUCACAGGCAGUAUGCAGAGAAGUGACGAGGUCCUUAGGAAAGGAAAGGUGCCGCUCCCUAAAGCUCCGGCAGUCCCACUCCUGCUUGCAUGUGAGGAAAGAAAACGAUUGUUCGAAACACAUGUACGCGCUCGUUUGGCCUUUGCCCAUCUACCUGCAACAGGCAAGGCAUGGAAACUAUGAAAAUGCCCGGUGACAGAAGAAAGGGUGAAGAAGAUGGGCCUCAUAUAAACAACAGACUGCUACUCAGACAGAAAAAAGCCAAGCACACAUGAUAUCACAUAUACAUGGACACCCAGAUAGCACUGAACUCACCAAAAAAAUGUCAAACUUGUUUUCAAAGGGGCAAGAUGGGGAGGGUGGAGAGGGAAACUAUGAGCUUGGAGUUCACAGCUCCACACUGAUAUACAUGUAUUUGUAUAUAUAUUUAAGAUAGAUGAUUUAGGAAACCCUACAGUGGAACACAGACAACUCUCUUCACUCUGCAAAUAACUGUGUCCCAAAGAAUCCAAGCAACAGUCAUCCCAUGUACAUUUGAACCUGAGUCCAAUUCCCAUUCAACUCAUACACGAUUCUGUAUAUUAAUCAUAAUCCAGGAGAAAAUAAAACUUGACUUCACUUUAGAGAUGCCUCCUCUUUUCCAUUCAGGCCUGGCUGGGCUGGGCUGGGGUCAUAUCUUGGAGCCCUGAGGUAGCUUGGAUCCCAAGUUUGACAGUGGUUGUUUCUAGGAUCAACCACCUUAAAACCUACGUUGAAAGUGAAAGUGAAGUCACUCAGUCGUGUCCGACUCUUUGCAACCCUGUGGACUGUAAAACCUAUGUUUCUGGGUGCUUAAUAAGCAAAAGGCUUGAAGGGUGUGAAAGACCACAGCUCUCACGAAGUUCUGUAGGAGGUCACGGAAGAAAAAUUCAUAGAAGAGUCUGCUUGCCACAUGCCAAUUUCAAAAGGAGAAAGUUCACUCAACCUGUGGUUUUCUUUUUAAAGCAGCUGAGAAGAUGCUCAGCAUCUCCACUGCUUAGAGAAAUGCAAAUGAAAUCUACAACAAGGUAUCUCUGACACAAAUCAUCAAAAAUCCUACAAACAAUACAUGAUGGAGAGGGCCUGGAGAAAAGGUACCCUGAGCAAGGUAUUUGUGGAAAGGUAAAUUGCUCAGAGCCAGUAUAGAGAGAAGUAGAGAAGCUAUUUAAGAAAGGAGAACUACAGCUCUGUACAUUUGGCCACGCGCUCCUGCUUUUAUGUCCAAAGAGAAGAUCAGCAGUGAAAAUCACACACUCCCUCCCUUGGCCUUUUCCCGUCUACCUACAACGGGCAAGGCAUGCAGACUAUUGUCAGUGACAGUAGAACGGACAAAGACGAUGUAUGUAUACAUCUUAUACAAAGAAGACACCAUGUGUACAACAGACUAUUACUCAGAAAACCAAAUUGCAACACACCAUUGCCAACAGUAUGCAUGGACCCGGAGAAGACCUCACUAACUCAAGCAGGUCAGACAGAGGAAGACCAAGCUGAUGAUACCACUUGUAGGUGGAAGCUAGAACCGAACUGUAAUAAUUGACAGGGAAACGUAAACACUCACCCUCAGCAAAAAAAUUCAGAGUUUCUGGUGGAGCAUGAUGGCGAGGUUGGAGAGAAAAAAUCACGAGGUUAGCCUGAACUGGUACACGCUAAUAUACAUACAAAUGUAAAUAAACAAUUAAUGAGGCCCUACUGCAUAACACAGACAACUCUACUCUACAAACACUGUCACAAAAGAAUCAAAAGAAAAAUCGGUCCUUGUUUAUGUGAACUUGAAUCCAGGUCCUAUUGAACUCAAAAGACGAUACUGUAAAUUGAGCAUACUCAAGGAGAAAAUAAAAAUUCAAUGUAAGAAUGCC